rnacentral:rRNA from 1 species
AAAAACGGACUUCUUCGGGCAACGGGAAUAUCUUCGGGCUUCUUCGCAUCCGAAUGAAGAACGUAAGCCGAAAUGCGAUACUUGGUGUGAAUUGCAGAAUCCCGUGAACCAUCGAGUUUUUGAACGCAAGUUGCGCCCCAAAGGCCAUUUAGGGCCCGAGGGGCACCGUCUGCCUUGGGGCCGUC